rnacentral:lncRNA from 1 species
UGCUGCUUAAACUACGUCCAGUCGUUUCCGCAUAACCCAUGUGUGUGUGUUAAGGUGUUAUCUGAGAAGAUUAUUUGACUAGUGUGAAGACUUGGCAUAUUGGUUGAACCUGAGGUGUUCAGCCCUCAACAGAUAUAUAUUGAUAUAUGUAACAUGUUCUUAUGAUUACCAUCUAGCUCAUGAUGCAUAUCCCUACAAGUAAUUGGCAAUGUACAUGUUUCAAUUAAAAAUUGCUUUCCGCAAAGGCUAGAUAUUACUUUAUUAUUGUACCAACUGCACUAUCCAUAUCAUGGACUAUUUGCGAGUACAUUCAAAGUACUCAUUGGCUUGCCUCAACUUAUUUAUUGACCAGACAUGGAGGAACUAGAGUAUGGAGAAGGAUUCAUCGUCGGUAACGGACACAUGAACUAGGACGCUUCCUAGUCACAAUGUGUGUUUGUUAAGGCUGAUGGGAUGCGAUCCCGUUUACUACCAAGUAUUCCGCUAGUAGUUGUGUUGGUGUGAUUGGUCUUCUAGGCCCUAUCAAUGUAAAACUUGACCAUGAUGGUCCUUUAUUGUAUCAGACGUUAAUUUCGGAUGUAAGACUCUUGUUAUUGAGUAUCUGUGUGUUCAGUGAGCAUUGAUCUCUCGGAUCAUUGUACACAUGCAUUCGGCGAUCUCGACGCAUAAGUCAGGGUCCCC